rnacentral:rRNA from 1 species
ACGCUCGACACCUACGGGAGCAGCAGUGGGGAAUAUUGCACAAUGGGGGAAACCCUGAUGCAGCAACGCCGCGUGAAGGAAGACGGUUUUCGGAUUGUAAACUUCUGUUCUUAGUGAAGAUAGUGACGGUAGCUAAGGAGCAAGCCACGGCUAACUACGUGCCAANGCGCGUAGUACUGAGCGGCGNGNGAG